AUAAUUGAUUUCCAGAUUGCACAGGGCACCCAGUGGAUGUACUUAAUCAAGUCACUUGCAGAUCGGCCAGGUGGCCCCCCGUCAAUUCGCAUAACUGGUGUUGAUGAUCCCCAGUCAGCUCAUGCUCGUGGUGGUGGACUUCCUAUUGUAGGGCACAAGCUAUCAUGUUUUGCUGAGUCAUGCAAUGUGCCAUUUGAGUUCUAUGACGCCGCCAUGUCUGGUUGUGAGGUUCAACUUGAACAUCUUGGGUUGCAGCCUGGAGAAGCUGUGGUUGUGAAUUUUCCAUAUGUAUUGCACCACAU
rnacentral:misc_RNA from 1 species